CCCCGUUUCAUCAAAAUUUGCGAUGCGAUAUUAUCGCCGAUCGCCGAUUGCUGAUCUUUUACCUGCGAUUGCGAUAUUUUUUAAAAAGCGUUUCAUCAAACAUAUCGCAGAUUCUUGCCGGUAGUUUGCCGGUAGUUUAGUGCUAUGAGCGAUAAUCGCUCACAGUCUACUAUCAAAAUGACGUAAAAAACGGGCACCUGCUGAAUCUCGCGCCACCUGUCAUAUUUGACAGACGAUCAAACAACAACAAUGGCAGAUCUCGUAGAGAAUAGGAGCGCCUCUUGGCAGCCAAGAGAACUCUAGGAACUGCUCGAGGGCGUCCAACAAAAUUAUGAAGUGUUGUGGGGCAAAUUGUCCGGCACAUUAUCAAAGAAAGACAAAGACCGUGCAUGGUCGGACAUCGUCCAAUCAAUAAAUUCCGUAGGGGGGAACGAGAGGAACGUAGAAGAUUCAAUGAAAAAGUGGUGUGAUUGGAAGAUUGUGAUUGUCAUCAGGAAAUGAUUGACAUAUCUCGGCAAAUGCUAGAGGAGAGUGUAAAGCGGAAUGAAAUACUGCAGGACAUAAGUUCAACACUAAAAUUAACAGCUGGCAAAGCUUUCCUGGACAACUUGUUGGAUCCCACAAAUUUUUAAAAGCGGGGGCCAUAGACAAAACUAGUCUAUAAAAUGAGUGUUAAUUAUGUUUAAAGAAAUAACACACCAUGAUAUACAUUUUGCUGUUAUUUCUACCUUGUUUAAAGGGACCUAUUCACAGAUUUAUGCAACUACUGAAGUUUGUCAUUAAAUGCUUUAAAUUAAUAAAUGUAAACAUUGGAACUAAAUAGCUCCAUAAAAAAGUGAAUACAUGUACAAUUAAAGAAAAAAAGUUAAACUCAACUGGGCUCGAACCACUGACCCUUGGAAUAAGAGUCUAGCAUUUUAGACCACUCGUUCAUCCAUGCUAUUACAGUGAGUGGUAUAUGUUAUACAUGUACUUCAUAUAAAAAAUCCUUGUAGUGUCACAAAAUAUAACGAUAACAACAGAACUUUCCAAAUUAUUCAAUCAUUUUGCAUUUGUAAUGCUGUAUUAUUUUCAGGUUAUUAAAUUGUCAAAAGAUGCAUAUACCGGAUAUUUUGGAGCAUGGUAAAUGUUCAGAAUUACUGUUAUUCUUAUUUGUAAAUGCUAUAAACAUAACUAUCAUAUUGUUUUAAUGUUGUACACAAUGUUUAUAAGUUAAUCUCAUGUAUAAACUUAAUUGUUUUGUCUCUUUUAACUGUACAGUACAUUGUUUUACUGUUAAAUUUUUAUGUGGCCCUAUAAAGGUGACCGUUUGGCGACAAAAUAUUCAUUACCCCUAUCCUGUAAAUAUUAUUUUUAAAUUUCCUUUUAGAUAUUGUCAUAACGCCACCCUGGGAGGUAAUCGCUUCUCAAUAGCCCUAUAUCCUUUAAGGUACUUUACAGACAGGGUCUUAGGUUGCAAGAGUUCAACAUUUGCUGUCACACUCAAAUAUAUUCCAAAAUAAAAUAAAAAUGCAAUUAUACAUCAUAUUUUCAUAUAAAUGUGCAAUCCUUUAAAAACAUAGAGCUAAUUAAGUAAGAUCCAGCUUCUCAACCAAUUAAUGUCCAACAAGUUGUAUAUUUUCCCAUUGUUUAAUAUUAAUAAUAAUAACAUUUUAUUACUAUAGUGCAAGACAUGUGUUUCUUUCAAUUGUCCAUUUCCAUAUUCUUUAUAUAACACUCAUUCCUUUAAAAGUGCAAUAAUGUUUACAUCCUAAAUGAAAAGGCGUGUGAACUAGGUCAUGGUUCAAUUUCGACCAAUCAGCGCCAACUUUUAUGGUCAAUGCCGUUUUAGCAAGUGGGGUAAAACCAGUACUUACCGAAACCGCCCUUAUAGUAUUCAAUGCAUUCUUAUGUAUAUAACGCUUUUUAACAUUUUAGUUAAAUGUAAAUGCGAUGUUAGGUAAGCACAGAUUUUUAUGCCCCCCCUUCGAAGAAUAAACUGAGUAUGUUUUAAAAUGAUGUAUGUAUAUUUUUAAAUGUUGGACUUUUGUUGGAAAUGUUGGAAAUAAAGUGUGUAUACUUUGUAAAUAAACUGUAGUAGUAGAAACAAAUGACUUAUUUAAUUUCUACUAGCUCGGCUAGUUGUACAAGUUACAUGGAAAUUUGUCUAAAUGGACUGGUGGCAGCACCCGUAAAUAAGACCACAGGUUCUUGACUAAAUUAAAAUUUAGUGUAGAUAAUUUGUGCAAAGUUUAACUUUGAUUGCUUCCGUCGAAGUUCAAAUUUUGCGACACUACUGAUUGAAUUCGAGCCUGGACAACAUGUUGAAUGUUAACGAUUCACCAAGAAAUACUUUGACAUACUUUUUAAGCAUAUAUAACCUACAUUCGAAUUUGAUCUAUAUAAACUUGAUGCAAAUCCUAAAUAAGAUUGGGGAAGAUUGGAUGAAUAUUGUUCGAAUUAGAGCUGAACAACAUGCUGAAUGCUGAAAAUGCACUAAGUGACCAUAUGACCUAGUAUUUAACACUACAUGACCCAUAUUUGAAACUGGCCUAUAUAUCAUCCAAAUUCAACUUUUGACAAAGAUUGGUGAAGAUCAGAUGAAUACUGUUUAACAUAACAUGUUCCUUUUUCCAAAGGGGCAUAUAGAAAUCAAAUAAAACAACAAAUUAUAAACUAAAUGAUCUAUUUAUUGGCUGCUACUAUACUUCCUCCAAAACAAGUAUCAACAAGAAUACGUCUCAGAUAUAACAUCCAACGACAUGAGUGAAUUAUGUAGAAUGCGUAUGAACAUGUGGUGAACAAAAAUGAGAAAUCAGUGCUUAAUGUAUGAUUGGUUUGCAUUUUAUCAUUUGUUUAAAUAAAAUGGUAGUUAAUAUUUUCCUUUCCAAGUACAGCCACAUAUAAUGAUAUCAAAAUUCAACAAUGUUUACAUUUAAAAUUCAACAUAAUCACGAAGAGUACACAAUGCACAGAAUGUAUUAAAUACAUAUAUGUUAAUGUGCAGACAAAAUAACAAUUAACAAAUAUGUAUAAAAAAAAAAACAUUAAGAAAAA